rnacentral:sRNA from 1 species
GCUGGGCAUGGUGGUGCAUGCCUGUAAUCCCAGCAACUCAAGAGGCUGAGGCAGGAGGAUUGCAAAGCCAGCCUCAGCAACUUAGUGAUGCCCUAAGCAACUUAGUAUGACCCUGUCUCCA